rnacentral:rRNA from 1 species
GACGAACGCUGGCGGCGUGCUUAACACAUGCAAGUCGAACGAAGUGGCGAACGGGUGGGUAACGCGUAAUCAACCUGCCCUUCAGCGGGGGACAACAGUUGAAAACGACUGCUAAUACCGCAUACUGAAGUAGGGGCUUGCGUCUGAUUAGCUCGUUGGAGGGGUAACGGCCCACCAAGGCGAUGAGCAGUAGCGGGCCUUGGAGGAUGGUCCGCCACACUGGGACUUGGACACGGCCCAGACUCCUACGGGAGGCAGCAGUGGGGAAUUUUGGACAAUGGGCGCAAGCCUGAUCCAGCCAUGCCGCGUGUCUGAAGAAGGCCUUCGGGUUGUAAAGGACUUUUGUCAGGGAAGCGGUACCUGAAGAAUAAGCACCGGCUAACUACGUGCCAGCAGCCGCGGUAAUUC